GAAAAAAACAGAUGCAUCAAGCUCCGGUUGUAACGCUGUGUUAAUUGUUUUGCAGGGAGUGAAGGGCCAGAUCCUGCACGGCUUAGACCAUGUGACCUGCUUCCUGGAUGACAUCCUGAUCACAGCUGGCUCCUGGGAGGACCAUCGAAAAAAUCUAGCCUUACUGCCCCACCCGAUCCCUAAGAUCAGCCGAUCAGCUGCUACUGACGGUCCCUGACACAAGGCUGAAGCUUAGAGGUGACAGAGCUUUCGCCGCUGCUGCUCCCAAACUCUGGAACGACCUACCUCUGAGUGUUAGACAGGCCUCCUCUCUUCCUGUUUUUAAAUCUCUCUUAAAAACAUACUUUUAUUCCAUGGCUUUUAACACUUAGUGAUAUCCAUCCUGCUAUGGCGCCCCAUAAUACACCUGCUGUGAACCUGUUUUUAUGUUUUUAUGUUCUAUUUAUUUUAUUUAUUUAUUUUUUA